GGGUUUCACAAAAUUUGCUCUGGGCGUUCUUCUCUGCCGACCAUCAAACCUCUUCAAAUUAAUUCUCAAAUCAAGGGUUUCUCCAUCAUCGAUCAUUCAUCUGUCUUGAUAAUCAAAUGUUUCAUUACCAUGGUUCAUAUCGCAAUUCGCAAGCAAGAAGAUGUUCAUUGUUCCAGAUUUGUUUAUGUAUUUCAUGAUGAUGAUGAAGGUUGAUGAUUUGAUUUGUAUUCUGUUGCCUCUGGCAAGCUGAAACAGGCUGGUGAACUAAAGAGGGAGGAUUUGAAAGGCUGGUGACAAGAUAAGGUUACAUGCCACCCGAGUCACUCAGACUUUUACCGGCAGUUACUCACUACGCUCAGGUUACACUGUCGGCGGUUUGGCUGGCGAUUCCUGGCAAGUAGGGGUUUCGGUGUGGGUUUGCGGAUGAAAAGUGAAUGUGAAUUACUUUUUCAAUG
rnacentral:lncRNA from 1 species